GAUGAACGCUGGCGGCGUGCCUAAUACAUGCAAGUCGAGCGAACAGACGAGGAGCUUGCUCCUCUGACGUUAGCGGCGGACGGGUGAGUAACACGUGGAUAACCUACCUAUAAGACUGGGAUAACUUCGGGAAACCGGAGCUAAUACCGGAUAAUAUAUUGAACCGCAUGGUUCAAUAGUGAAAGACGGUUUUGCUGUCACUUAUAGAUGGAUCCGCGCCGCAUUAGCUAGUUGGUAAGGUAACGGCUUACCAAGGCAACGAUGCGUAGCCGACCUGAGAGGGUGAUCGGUCACACUGGAACGGAGACACGGUCCAGACUCCUACGGGAGGCAGCAGUAGGGAAUCUUCCGCAAUGGGCGAAAGCCUGACGGAGCAACGCCGCGUGAGUGAUGAAGGUCUUCGGAUCGUAAAACUCUGUUAUUAGGGAAGAACAAAUGUGUAAGUAACUAUGCACGUCUUGACGGUACCUAAUCAGAAAGCCACGGCUAACUACGUG
rnacentral:rRNA from 1 species